rnacentral:rRNA from 1 species
GUCUACGGCCAUACCACCCUGAACAUGUCCGAUCUUGUCUGAUCUUGGAAGCUAAGCGAGGUUGGGCCUGGUUAGUACUUGGAUGGCAGACCACCUAGGAAUACCAAGUGCUGUAGGCU